CUCUCUCUCUCUCUGCAGUGGACCAAGUGUGGCUAGCAGCUUCAUGAUCCUGCUGUCAUCCAUCCUUCCCACCACAAUGGGCUAAGUCUCUCCUUAAUCACAUCACAGCAAUAAGAAAUGUAACUAAGAUCGGUGUCAUCCACACAAAUUUCUAUGAUAAAACAUAGGCCCAAUCUACAAGACCAAACUGUUAACCAAUCACAGUCCAAUUCCCUCACACUAGAUACUUACUUAUCCAGUAAGGGAUGGUUUGUUUUCAGUGCUUUGAAAAUAACUAUUUUGAAGUUAUUAUUCUUCUGCAAACUGAAUUCAAAUUCAUAAAUUUAUCCGUUUAAAUUUUUAUGCAUCUUCACACAUUUAUGAUUAUUAAUCAAAUUUUACACAUACAGAUAAUGUGUACACUCUUUACCUGACCAUUUCUCAUCUCCCUAUCACCUCUGUCCACCCCUCUCUCCUCCCCUAUUUUGUUUUGUGACUACUGCGUUUAACUUGGGUCACUAUGUAUAGCCAUGGGUUUGGAGCUAUCUGUUUGAGACUAGUAGUCCCAGCAAUGGAAAUGCCGAUGGAGAUACAUGAUUCCCCUCCCCCAUAAUCUAUGAACAGCAGUAAAAGGUAAGGCCCCCAUGAGUGCCUCUCACUUGCUGAUUGUUGACAUGUCAAUUUUGUGUGGGCCUAGAGCAGGUAACUGCAGUUAGGAGUUAAUUGCAAAGCUUGUGUCAAGUCUGCACUUUGCAAUCCUUUGACAUUAGUUUUUGCUAAAAUACCCACUCUCUUACAGACAUGUAACACUCCAUUCAAAAUGAUUUCUCUAAAAACUGAAGGCUUCUAGGGUGACUCAUUAUUGAAAUGUAGAAAGUCUAGACUUUACAUUAAGUACAAAGAACAAUUUCCGUUCUCGUGGUUCUUUGCACACUCUGCCUUUCCCAACAGCAGGAAUUAGACACUUUAUGAAUCCGCCUUGUAUUUAUGCUUCCUUCACUUGCUUGAAAGCACAAUUUGUUUGGUCUAAUAAGGCCCUGAUUGCAGGUAUUGGCACACACACUUUGAAACUGGGUUCCUUUUGGUAAAAUGCAAGCUGUGUGAAAUGCAUGGAAGAUGCAAUUAUACUCUAAUUUACUUGAUGCCACUGGCUUUAAUUAAAGUAGAUCAUAUUUCAUUGAAGCAAAUUCAUGCUCCUCUUUAACAAAGGAAGUUGGAAACACAAGGAGGAAAUUGGCUAUUUUUCUUUUGAAAUCCUAACUCGUAGCAUGGCUAAUCUCAAGCUGUUUAUAUGAGAAAGUGCAAAUACACAGGUCUACACCCCAGAGCAGAAAGAGCUGAAGUUCCCACCACAAUAGUGUUUCUGCUGCAAAGAAGCUCUAUCAGGCCAGAUGCAAGGACCCACUGAAGUUCAUCUCCAUCUCUUGACUCACCUCCAGAUCUUUCUCACUAUUCAUCUCUCCCAUCCCUUCUGUAGUAUGAUGGUUGCUGUGUAGGAGUCUUCGAUAAAGACUUGAGCAGCAUGACACAAUCAAGGGUACUCAUUUUGAUCAGAUCGUAAGCUUUAGAACGCAAGUGAUUGCAUGGCACAGAGUUAAAAGCCUAAAAGGAGGGAAAACAGGCUCGGUCUUAACCCUGACACUGAAAGCUCUUAAUUAGGUAAAUCGUGGACUUGGACUUUAUGGCAAUAAAUGGCUGUACAGUUGUGGGCUUCUCCUAGAAACUGGACGUUGAUGGGAGGAGGUUUUUUUCUUUUGUUUUGUUUGUUGUUUUUGCUCUUCUGCUGUUUUGGGUUGGCUGGUUGGUUUUUUGUUUGUUUGUUUGUUGUUUGUUUGAAAUGGGGUUUCUCUGUAUAGUGUUAGCUGUCCUGUAACCCAUUCUGUAAAUGAGGAGAGUUUGGAACUCAGAUAUCUGCCUGACUUUGCAUCCCAAGGGCUAGGAUUAAAGGCAUAUGUACCACCACCUUGUAGAAGGAGUAUCUUUUACUUGUUCAUAUCAGAAAUAAAUUUCCCAGAUUCUCCCAUGACAGAUUCUCCUCUCAUCAUCUUGGAUGGGGGUCACAUAUCUGUAUGUAUGACAUGAAGAAAAAAAAAUACAGAAAAAUGUGUUAGAAGAGACACAUAGCUAACAAAUUCUUCUAAUGAAGAAGGUGACUUUAGUAGUAAGAAGUGAAUACAGAAUGGUACCUGAACAAAUCAAUACUUGUUUGCCACAUCUUUCCAUGUUCUUUCAGUACACCAUGACUGUUGACAUAUGUAGGAAUCCAACUUUAAGGACAGUGAACACAUAGGUUAUAAUACUUGAUCUUGUUGGCAUUGGAAAUCCAUUUAUCAGCUGCAUUCCUUAGUGAAAACACACACAGUUCAUAUAAGGUGAAUAUAUUUAUUUCUAUCUAGUUUUCCAUACAGUUGUAUAAUCUAUACAAAUUCCAUGUGAAACAAUUCAGAAAAAAAAUGUUUAAAAAUUUGAUACUCAACUUUAUAUGUUAUGAACCAAUUAAGCUUUGGUGGCUCAAGUCCUGUGAUUCCAAUUCUUAAUGGCACUUCCAUUGUACUGGGAAAAACAAUGAACUUAAAGAGCAACAAUCUAUGUUAAACAAAGCUAACAUGUGGCAAGGACCACCUAUAUUUUAAUGGGCUAUGUGGAAAUUAAAAGCCUCUGGCACUCUACAGCACACUAGCCUUUGUUCUUGACUGAAGUGCCCAUUAUGCACAAAAGGCCCAGUCAAUCAGAUUGCUGCUCAUAUACUGGAUAAUUGCUUCAUGUUACUUGCACAGCGAAAGGGGAACAUUUUUAAUUCUACUCCCUUUCUUGAACAAAACCAAAGUUUCCCCCAUGCUUCUUCAACAGUCACUAUAAUUUGCCUGAUAUUUCUUUUUUCUUCCUCUCACAGCUAAAUUGGCUGAUUACACCCAGCCACCUUUUGUUCAUUGUGACUAGCAGCCUAUUGGACAUUUACUUAUCCAAGCACUCAUAAAUAAUUGUCAGUGUGGUUCAUCCCAGUACUUGAGGAGAACUCCAGUAGUGUGUUUCUGUUCUAAGUCCACAGCAGGUAUCCCUGGCACAGCCUAGGAAGUUCCUUUCAGGUACCCUCUGGGCUAAGGACGAGCUAAACCUGUAGAAAAUAAAGGAACCUUAGCACUCAUCCAUCCUACAGGCUCUAUUUACAAAUAGUAAAUUAGAGACAUACAUAUUUCAUUUUAAGAGUUAAAUCCUAUAAGGAGAUUCGGUAGAUUCCUUUAAAUCACAUUUUCUUUGGUCUUUUUGCUUGAAACAGGCUACAUUUAUGGCACUUACCUAAUUAAAUAAAUUGAUAUUUUGUUUUUUGGUAAAUGUGCUAUGAAGAGGUUUGGGCAUUUCCUUUUUAUUAGUCCUUAAAUAGUUACGGCAAUGGUUUUGCCGUCAUAUUGCUUAGGGCUCUCUUUGGCGAAUACAACAAAACGACUUCCCACCAAUGAUCCUGUGUUUCUUAAGGAGGUAUAGAUAAAUACAGGUAUUCCAUCUGCUUGUGUGUAAUUGAUUAAUAGAAUGGCUUGUUCAUAAAGGAGCUGCUGACAUUUGUUUUAAUUGCCUUGGACCAGUUAUUUCCCAGCUGCCCAAGUGAUGGGCAUCUUGGAUAAAACCAAUAAAUAAGUUCAGUAUGCUUUUGAUGUCAAAUACCAGCUCUGGAUUUUUUUUUCCAUAUGGUCCAACUUGUCUAAUGAAGGCAUUUACUCUGUAGAAUAUCUAAAGACAUAAAAGAUAUGGCUUGAACUUACAGAAAAUGAUGAGGAAAAUCACGUCAUAUUGUUUGUUUCAUUUAAAUGUCAUAGCUUACUUCCAAAGAAACCUCAAGGAUCUUCUCAUCUCUUAGAUUAAAGUAGCAGGCUCCUAAUAGAAUCAAAGCAUAUGAGUCAAAAGACUUUUGAACUAGGUAGGGCACGAUGGGCAGCAAGAUGGGAUCUGCUAGCAGUGCUGUUUGAGCAGUGAAGCCCUGUGCUUCAUUAGUUAGGUUCCCUGACAGAAAAUAUCAUCUUAAAUGUGUUACCUCAGAAGUUGUAAGAACACCAGGGAUAGCAACUACUGCUUCUCUAAUCUCACAACCUUCUUAAAUAAAUAAAUUGGAUCUUCUGGAGCAACGGGUCCACCAAACACUGCAGC
rnacentral:lncRNA from 1 species